GUCUAUGGCCAUACCACCUUGAACACGCCUGAACUCGUCUGAUCUCGGAAGCUAAGCAGGUCAGGCCUGGUUAGUACUUGGAUGGGAGACAAGAAUGUGAAGAAAAAAAGAAG
rnacentral:rRNA from 1 species